rnacentral:lncRNA from 1 species
CUGCAUCCAUCUUGGAAGUUUAUUCACCAUAUGUUCGUCGGGGCAACGAGGUUGGACAGUCACGACCAAGUUGAUUAUAAUCUUGGUCUUCCCCAAUCCAAGCCGAUGAUCAUCCCAAAAAGGGCAAACUGGAGCAGAAUUGCAUAUGCUUUAUCUUUCAUUCUCAGCGGCAAAAAACACAUCACACAGAAAGAAUGUGGUAAAAUAAAGCUGGUGACACAACAUUUGCAAGUUCAACAUCACUUCAUAAUAACAACCAUCCAUCGAGCGAACCCCUCAAGGCCGAGAGUACGUAAGGGUAUCCAAACUCGAACCGGGAUAACCAGAUCCCAGUUCAUGAACCCCACAGAAUAGAACACGGAAAUACAUCAAUAACCAAACCAUUCUCUAAUUCAGAAGUACCCAAACUUAUAUAGACAUCACAGUUGGCGAGACCCAACUGCACAACCCCAACAGAAUCUCCCAAUUCCAACCCGAUCGUUCCUCUCAAGUCGUGCGACUUUUGAUGACAUCGAGACCCAU